GUUGACCUCGGAUCAGGUAGGAAUACCCGCUGAACUUAAGCAUAUCAAUAAGCGGAGGAAAAGAAACCAACAGGGAUUGCCCUAGUAACGGCGAGUGAAGCGGCAACAGCUCAAAUUUGAAAUCUGGCCUCGGCCCGAGUUGUAAUUUGCAGAGGAUGCUUUUGGCGCGGUGCCUUCCGAGUUCCCUGGAACGGGACGCCACAGAGGGUGAGAGCCCCGUAUGGUUGGACACCUAGCCUGUGUAAAGCUCCUUCGACGAGUCGAGUAGUUUGGGAAUGCUGCUCAAAAUGGGAGGUAAAUCUCUUCUAAAGCUAAAUACCGGCCAGAGACCGAUAGCGCACAAGUAGAGUGAUCGAAAGAUGAAAAGCACCUUGAAAAGGGGGUUAAACAGUACGUGAAAUUGUUGAAAGGGAAGCGCUUGUGACCAGACUUGCGCCGGGCGGCUCAUCCGGGGUUCUCCCCGGUGCACUCCGCCCGGCUCAGGCCAGCAUCGGUUCUCGUGGGGGGAUAAGACUGGUGGGAACGUAGCACCCUCCGGGGUGUGUUAUAGCCCGCCUGACGAUACCCCCGUGGGGACCGAGGUUCGCGCUCCGCAAGGAUGCUGGCGUAAUGGUCAUCAGCGACCCGUCUUGAAACACGGACCAAGGAGUCGUCCAUUAUAGCGAGCGUUUGGGUGUAAAACCCGCACGCGUAAUGAAAGUGAAAUUAGGUGAGAGCUUCGGCGCAUCAUCGACCGAUCCUGAUGUUCUCGGAUGGAUUUGAGUAAGAGUUAUAACGGACGGACCCGAAAGACAGUGAACUAUGCUUGUAUAGGGUGAAGCCAGAGGAAACUCUGGUGGAGGCUCGCAGCGGUUCUGACGUGCAAAUCGAUCGUCAAAUAUGAGCAUGGGGGCGAAAGACUAAUCGAACUGUCUAGUAGCUGGUUACCGCC
rnacentral:rRNA from 1 species